GAGGUGCUUGCACCUUUCAAGCGAGUGGCGAACGGGUGAGUAACACGUGGAUAACCUGCCUCAAGGCUGGGGAUAACAUUUGGAAACAGAUGCUAAUACCGAAUAAAACUUAGUAUCGCAUGAUAUCAAGUUAAAAGGCGCUACGGCGUCACCUAGAGAUGGAUCCGCGGUGCAUUAGUUAGUUGGUGGGGUAAAGGCUUACCAAGACGAUGAUGCAUAGCCGAGUUGAGAGACUGAUCGGCCACAUUGGGACUGAGACACGGCCCAAACUCCUACGGGAGGCUGCAGUAGGGAAUCUUCCACAAUGGGCGCAAGCCUGAUGGAGCAACGCCGCGUGUGUGAUGAAGGCUUUCGGGUCGUAAAGCACUGUUGUAUGGGAAGAAAUGCUAAAAUAGGGAAUGAUUUUAGUUUGACGGUACCAUACCAGAAAGGGACGGCUAAAUACGUGCCAGCAGCCGCGGUAAUACGUAUGUCCCGAGCGUUAUCCGGAUUUAUUGGGCGUAAAGCGAGCGCAGACGGUUGAUUAAGUCUGAUGUGAAAGCCCGGAGCUCAACUCCGGAAUGGCAUUGGAAACUGGUUAACUUGAGUGUUGUAGAGGUAAGUGGAACUCCAUGUGU
rnacentral:rRNA from 1 species